AGAUGGUAACCUUGGGUUUGGCUCUUGUCUAUGUUCCUUGGAACAGGACGUCAUAGAGGGUGAGAAUCCCGUCUGAUGAGAUGCCCAUUCCUAUGUAAGGUGCUAUCGAAGAGUCGAGUUGUUUGGGAAUGCAGCUCUAAGUGGGUGGUAAAUUCCAUCUAAAGCUAAAUAUUGGCGAGAGACCGAUAGCGAACAAGUACAGUGAUGGAAAGAUGAAAAGAACUUUGAAAAGAGAGUGAAAAAGUACGUGAAAUUGUUGAAAGGGAAGGGCAUUAGAUCAGACUUGGUGUUUUACGAUUAUCUUCUCUUCUUGAGUUGUGCACUCGUAUUUCACUGGGCCAGCAUCGAUUCGGAUGGCAAGAUAAUGGCAGUUGAAUGUGGCUUCACUUCGGUGGAGUGUUAUAGCUUCUGCUGAUAUUGCCUGUCUGGAUCGAGGGCUGCGUCUUUUGACUAGGAUGCUGGCGUAAUGAUCUAAUGCCGCCCGUCUU
rnacentral:rRNA from 1 species